CCCUAAGGACCCUAGGCAGUUGCACACAAAUAUAGAUAGAAGAAGAGUCACGCCUAGUGGGAACAGAGAGAGAGCACGAACAGAGAGGGAUAACUAAGAAGAGAUAGAGGGGAAAUUGAGAGAAACAGUGAGAACGAGAGGAGGAGAGGAACGGCAAAAACAGAGAGUGAGAAGAGGAAACAAUUAACGGGGAGGCAGGAAACAAAUAGGGGAAACAGUAGGGAGGAAUCCCUAGUGCUGCAGUCAUCUUCUCGAUCCCACUUCUAAGAAAUUGGCUUUUCCACCAUUGUUAACCUUUUCUUCUCCAUACUCCAUUAAACCUCCAUAAUCAUGUAAAACCAAUUGUCUUAUCUCCGAAAAAGGCAGCUGUGAAAUUCACCUACAAAGCACCCUAAAUAGCAUGAAGCCGCUCCAAAUCGCCAGUCACUGUCACAGAGUCUGUUGGUUUCAUGGUUUUGGUUUAAUUCGAGUUUUCCGACGAGUUUUGAGCUCGUCGAAGGUCGAGUCUAAGGUUCCGGACAGGUUCGCGGUUCCGUCGAGGUUGUCGUUGUCUAAAUUUUCUGGUGUUAAGCAUUUUCAGAAUCAAAAAUACUUUGCUUUGAGGUAUGGAUUCAUUUACCAGAUCUUGAGCACGACAGACGCCCCAGGAGCUUCCCAGCCAGGACCGUUGCCUUCAGGAGAUGUUUAAGGGGACUUUUUAUUUUUUGAGUUUGUUUUAUGUUGUCUUUUACUUUCUAGUCUUAUACAAUAGUAUUGAGUCUCUUAGGUGGUGUCAAAGUCUGUCAUAGUCUAGUUGAGUUCGUCGAAUCUUUUGUUAUCGUACUUCCUAUUUUGUAUGUGAAAACCAAAAAUAUUAUAAAUGAAAAAUCCAAAAAGAUUUUUGUUUUUAGUUUA